rnacentral:rRNA from 1 species
CGCGUCAGAAUGUGAACUGCAGGACACAUGUACACCGACAAGUUGAACGCAUAUUGCACAUCGUACAACAGUACGAUGUACACAUUUUUGAGUGCCUAUAUUUACCCAUUUAACUAUACGUUGCGUGUCGUCUAGGCGCGCCUCGUAUGCGGAGUGACGUUUUCCUGCCUUCAGUGUGCUAUAAAACGUUCAAGAUAGUCAAACACAGGACGUGUGCGAUCGCGUGCGACCCGUGGUUGAUGAGUACACCCCACUUGCUGGACCUGGCUUCCACUUGCGCUGUGCUUCAUCAUCAACACCCACUUUGACCAAUCAACCCACUCGUAUGUAGGCCUCAAAUAAUGUGUGAC